rnacentral:lncRNA from 1 species
UGUCAGCUCAAAUUCGGCUUGAAAUUAAUUUCGAGCCUAAAUCUAGGCUCAAGCUCGGCUUGAAAUUAAUUCGAGCCGAGCUCGAGCAAGCCUAAUUUCGAGUCGAGCCGAGCUCGAGAUCUAAAUGAGCCGAUUGAAAUUCUCGACAUUAUAUAAUCAAUAGUUUAAUUUUUAUAGAACAUUGCUUACAAUUUGAUGCAACAUGUCCAAUAGUUCAAAAUACAAAAUAAUUAUAAGAAAUGUGACCUAGGAUGACUUCCUGACUAGAUGAGGGACUGAGAGAGAGAGAGAGAGAGAGAGAGAGAGAGAGAGAGAGAGAGGAAAAAAAGUAGGGAUUUGGGAAUUUGAAUGUUAUCAUGUUUUAGGGUUAUGUGCAACAGUAAAAGUCUGAAAGAGAGAGUGUGUUAUGUAAAUUUAGAGUUAGACUCAAUUGUACGGUUGUACUUGUUGGGUUCAUUUUAUGGGCCAACAAUAAUGCCCCAAAUUAAAUUAAAGCCUAUAUAUAAUUAAAAUACAUUAUAUAUAUAUAUUUUCGAGCUUUUCGAGCUUUUCGAGCCUAAUUCGAACGAGCCGAGUAAUACUCAAGCUCGGCUUGAAAUGAAUUUCAAGCCUUUUAUUUUGUUCAAGCUCGGCUCAUUUAAUU